GGCCUGAACGCUGGCGGCGUGGCUAAGACAUGCAAGUCGCACGGGGUGGAGCAAUCCAUCCAGUGGCGAACGGGUGAGUAAUGAAUCGCUAACGUACCCCGGACUCCGGGAUAGCUACCCGAAAGGGUAGGUAAUACCGGGUAACAUCACUCCCAGGCAUCUGGGGGUGCUCGAAGGUCCGCCGGUCUGGGAGCGGGCGAUUUCGUAUCAGCUAGUUGGUGGGGUAACGCCACAAGGCGACGACGCGUAGCCGGACUGAGAGGUUGGCCGGCCACAUCGGGACUGAGACACUGCCCGGACUCCUACGGGGGGCUGCAGUAACGAAUCUUCCGCAAUGCACGAAAGUGUGACGGAGCGACGCCGCGUGUGGGACGAAGCCCUUCGGGGUGUAAACCACUGUCAGGGGGUACCAAGUUCUGAGGACCCCAGAGGAAGGCACGGCUAACUCUGUGCCAGCAGCCG
rnacentral:rRNA from 1 species